GUUCCCAUCUUUCAAUUGGGUAGGAUGCCCUCUUAGGUUUCUCAGGGCGAUGCGGGUUCGAGUCCUGCUGGGGAACA
rnacentral:tRNA from 1 species